UACUAAGUUUGCUUUUCCAAUCUAAUCAAAUGCAACAUUCCCUAUGAUUUUGUUCAGGGAUUAGAAUUCUCAUAAGCAGUUUCACUUUCUAAUUAAAUUGAUAUUGAUAUUUUCCAAAAAAAAAAUUGUUAUUUUGACUUGAAUUCCCUUAUGUAUUUUUCUAAUGGAAAUUAAUUCUAGUCAAAUAUGAUUUAUCAUUGAGUAAAUAAUUAAUUUUUGGCUGGGUCCAUAAAUUCUUUACAGAAAAAUAACUUGUUAUUACCAUAUAUUUCAUUUUUCAUGUGUCAUGGGUUUUUGACAAUAUUAUGGUUACUUUAAAAAAAGAAAAAGAAAAUAAAGCAUAUAUGGGUGAUAAUUAUUAAUUAUUUUAAAAUGAUUCAUAUUUUAAUUAUGAUUAACAAUCGUGUUCAGGACCUUUCGGACCCUUAGCAGCUGGUAUCGUCAUGAAAUCAUCAUUAAAUAAAGAAAGAACUCAUAAAAGGUUCAAUAAGCCAUCUAGAUAUAAAAUUCAUAAUAUAAUUACAAAAAUAAUAGUAAAAAGAAGGUGAAGUUCAAGACUAUAUACCAAAUCAAAGAGCUAAUAUGUCUCCUCGAUUGCUUGGAAAAUCACAUUGAAAAUGAAAAAUUAUAAUAGUAAUAAUAGUAAAAAAAUUAUAUAUUUUUGGAUAAUUAAUUUAACGGAAUUCAAUUAAUAAGAGUUUGGAUGAUACAUUAUUAGAUUUGAG
rnacentral:misc_RNA from 1 species